rnacentral:rRNA from 1 species
UACGAAGGGUGCAAGCGUUACUCGGAAUUACUGGGCGUAAAGCGUGCGUAGGUGGUCUGUUAAGUCUGAUGUGAAAGCCCUGGGCUCAACCUGGGAAUUGCAUUGGAUACUGGCAGGCUAGAGUGCGGUAGAGGAUGGCGGAAUUCCCGGUGUAGCAGUGAAAUGCGUAGAUAUCGGAAGGAACACCAGUGGCGAAGGCGGCUCCCUGGUCCAGCACCGACGUUCAGGCGCGAAAGCGUGGGGAGCAAACAGG